CAGUCGCCGCGGGAACACGUAGGGUGCAAGCGUUGUCCGGAAUUAUUGGGCGUAAAGAGCUCGUAGGCGGUUUGUCGCGUCUGCUGUGAAAACGCGAGGCUCAACCUCGCGCCUGCAGUGGGUACGGGCAGACUAGAGUGCGGUAGGGGAGAUUGGAAUUCCUGGUGUAGCGGUGGAAUGCGCAGAUAUCAGGAGGAACACCGAUGGCGAAGGCAAAUCUCUGGGCCGUAACUGACGCUGAGGAGCGAAAGCGUGGGGAGCGAACAGGAUUAGAUACCCCAGUAGUCCCUGUCUCUUAUAC
rnacentral:rRNA from 1 species